AUAAGAGUAUUUCCCGAUGUUGAUGUUGUACUCAUACCAAUGAAGUCAUCUGAAAUUACUUGCACUGCUCAGGAUGGGACAAUAAUGCUUCCUGUAUCCUCUGAGGUAGAGGUCAUGGAUCCUUCAUUAAGCCUGCCUAAUGAGGUGCACAUAUAUAUCAACUUCAAUUAAUGUUUUCCAUUGUGCCCAAAGUGGUUACCUGGAUGAAGGACCCAGGUUCAGUUCCCAGUAUACAAGACUUGGUUUGCCAUCCUUAAUUCCAGUUCUAAGGAAAAAGUGACACAACACCAGGACCUUCAGAACCAAGAUUACCUGCAGUGAUUUGAUGAGACAUGCUACCAAGGCUGAGACAUAUGAACAUGGAGUAUCCUCCAGGGAAAUCCUAGGAAGAUCAUCUUCCUCCAAAUAGUGAAG
rnacentral:lncRNA from 1 species